CCAAAACACACUUCACUUUCAUGGACACCCUGUUCAACAUGCCCGUCUCAGUUGCAGGCCAGGAUUGACAAAUUAAAAACACCACAAUCGGUGUGAAACUCGGUAUGAAUCUACGGCUGAGAAGCGAAAUGCUCUUCAAAGACAGCGAACCUUACUCCUACUGCAAUUGGCAAACUUGGAUAAAAUGCUGGGCCCAGAAUCACAUCCAGUCACUUAAACAGCAGAAGAUUCUGUGAUACCCUCACCAACAGACACACAGGUAUGGCCAGAAAUUGACCAUGCAUCUCCAACCAGUGAAUGUGUACCACCACUGGAAAGAACGGAGUGUAUUUGUUGCCUUCCAAAUCAACAUGGACUAGGGUUAGGGUUCUUAACAUGAACGACACCGAAAUGGACCAACUUGCUGAUUUCCUGGGACAUGAUAUUCGUAUCCACAGGAAAUAUUACAGAUUACCCGAGGGAACACUAUUAACAGGAGUGCGUUGAGCCUGAUCCUGGGAUAGAGAGUGAAACCGAACUGUCAGAUCAUUCUCAUGAUGUGACGUCAAGUGAGACAGGUAAAGAUUUGUAAACACAUUUUUUUAAGAUGUUUGUAAUUUCCAUUUAGUUAAAUAAUAAUUAAAUCAUGCCUUCAAGCAGGCACUUCAGUAGUGAAUAGCAGCAGGCCAGUAAACAUGAAUGAAGGAUCUCCAGAGAGGACACGGGAGGUCAUGAAAGUAACAUCAGUUCCUAGGAAGAGAAAGUGGAGUGAGGUGGAGAUUGCGGCUGUAGAAGAGACAAUGAUGAAAUGUAUUCACUCGGGAGUUACAGCUGGAAAAGUCGACUACAUUGCAUGCAUUACAGCAGCCCCCAAAGCCCUCGGUGAACGAGACUAGCAGGCGGUGAAGUAUUAUAUAAAAAACAGAAUCGCAGCAUAUGAGAGAAAGACCACUAAAAAGUAAGGUUGAUUUUGGUUGUUGAUUCCGUUUUUGCGUUUUAGUUGAAUUAUAAUAUUUUUUUUUUUGGUCUCAAUACUAGGGCUGCACGAUAUUGGGGAAAAAGGACAUUGCGAUAUCUUAUUUUUCUGCGAUAUAUAUUGCGAUAUGAUAUCUAAUCUAAUUUUUUCUUACAAACAAAAAUGGCAUGAGCACACAUACAUUCUCAUUUUAAAUGAUUUAAACAUCAGAGUAUUGUUUAAAUUAGAGUAAAUUAUUUGUUUGUAACUUUAGGAUAUGGUUUGAAUUGUUAACAUUAACUAACAUGAACUUACCAUGAGCAAUACUUGUGUUACUAUAUUUUUUAAUCUUUGUUUAUCUUCGUUAUCUUAAAAACACAGCUGUUCAUUGUUUGGUAAUGUUACUUCACAGUAGGGAUGCAACGGUUGACCGGCCAUUAAUCGGAACCGGCCGGUUUUUGCUUAAAAUACGCAAUCGCCCGUUUUUGGUGUUUUUCCGGCCGAUUAUUCCGGAAGUGCGCUCGCGUGCACAGACUACAUUGUAAUCGUUUGCUAUGUAAUUUGUGUGGAAGAGUAUUUCGAAAUCUGUGCGCAGGACACAGGCAGCCGAUCAGUACCGGAAAUGCAGAGUUUGACGUCUGAGGCACAGAUGGCAGGAAGCGAACAGCCGCUGUUGUACUGCCGCACAAAUAAGAGCCUUUCCUGCACACUGAAGCUGCGCGAGCGUAUCUGUCCGCGCCCUGAACACGAGUAGACCGUGAAGAGAUGUUCAGCUCAACUUCUCACGUGUUGGAUGAGAAACGAAACGGACUAAACUGUGACAAAACAGAAUUAUUUUUUAUUUAUUUUACUUUUUAUUAUUAUUAUUAGAACUUGCAUUCAUGUUUGAAAAGCCAGAAAUAAACUUCAGUUCUGAAUUAGGAUGAUUAUUUUUAUUUUACCCUAAAAUAGACUUAAUUUAAUUUAAAAAUCAUCUGCUGUAGCACACUGAAAAAAAGUAUUUCAUCUAAUUAAAAUAUUUUAGGGUAAUGAUUCACAUCUAUAUUUUUUUUACUUGAGUCAACAAGUUAUUUAUUUUUCACUGGCUCAAGUAAAAAAAAUAUAGAUGUGAAUCAUUAUCCUAUUUAUUUUUUAAUUAUUAUUAUUAUUGGAUGAAUGAAACCCUUUGCAUCUUUGUUUUAUUCGCACAAACAUUAUUUGAUUUUAACAUUUUGGAAAAUGUAUUUAUAUAGCAUACUUUUAUUUAGUCUCACUGGUAAAGACCUUUUUUUUUUAACUUAAAACCAAAUUUAAAAACUAAAAUACUGAAUGCUGAUCAAGAAACAUCUUUUUGAAUGUGUGUUGAUUGUGUUGUGUGGACUGUAGAACUAUGCAGUUGUUACCUUUAAUUUCACAUGGUUACAGUUAAUCUUUUAUUUAAGGCCAGUUCUCUGUAGUUUCAACCCAAUUAAAAAACAAAAGCUAAAUGCUGAUGUCUGUACCAUCUGUGUUUGUAUUGAAUGUAGGCUACUUAUUGUGCAGUUACUGCUAUUAAUUUAAUAAACAAGAUUUGACAACACAGAACACGUCAUAGAAUUAUAAUUUUUUUUUCCGACAUCGUUUUUUGAUUUUGAUAAAUUUGCGCGAGGGAGAGAGCAAGACAACGCUUGUGUUGUUUGAAGACAGUGAAGGUGGGCGUGAGCGCGUGGCUGGGCCCUCUCUCUCUCUCUCUCGUGCUCUUUCUCUCUCUCUGCUCGUUCUUAUGCGCUGUGUUAAACUGCUAGGACUUAAACUGUGCAAUUAAUCCGCGAAUCAAAUUCGUCAAGGGCCGGGGAGCAGCUGCCCGUACAGUUAAUGAAUAACGGAUCAACUACGACAGCCUACAUCGCACAUCCUGCGACGUGACAAUCGCGAAUUUGUACAUCGCGAUAUCGAUGCUUAAACGACACAUCGUGCAGCCCUACUCAAUACCGUAGUUGAAACAUUAUAAUGUAACUUAAGUUUUGAAAGAGUUAAAACGGCUUGAUGUUGGUUGUAAAUUUGGUGCUUGGACUUCCUUGUUUUUAAUGCUGUGUCAAGUGAUAAGCAGUUGGUGUAAAUGUUUUUUCUAAUUGCGUAGAUUAGUUUUACUGUACAGUAGCCAUACGACAGAGUGAGUGUCUAUAGUAUUCAAUCCCUUUAUUCAGGCCCCUUUACGUUUCACAUUUUAAUUGUAAAUUGAUUAAUUUAUUUUCUGAUGGCACAUUAGACGAAACGCAUCAUAAAAACUAUGUUGUAAUAUCUGAUGGCAAGCACUGAACCCAUACUGUACUGAUUAAAUUUGGCUGUAGAUUCAA